rnacentral:rRNA from 1 species
AGAGUGAACGCUGGGCGGUAGGCCUAACACAUGCAAGUCGAACGGCAGCACAGUAGGAGCUUGCUCUUACGGGUGGCGAGUGGCGGACGGGUGAGGAAUACAUCGGAAUCUACCUUUUGGUGGGGGAUAACGCAGGGAACUUACGCUAAUACCGCAUACGCCCGUUCGGGGGAAAGCCGAGGACCAGCAAGUGGCCUGGCGCUGAUAAGAUGACGCCGAUGCGAUUAGCUAGUUGGUGAGGUAAUGGCUCACCAAGGCGACGA